UUCCCAUAAAAAUCAAACCUUCUGGUUUCUGAUUAUGAAAUUUUUUAAAAAAUUUCAUAAUCAGAAACCAGAAGGUUUGAUUUUUAUGGGA